CAAUGAAUGUGGAAAUGCAGGCAUCUCUUCUACAUACUGAUUUAAUUUUCCUUGGAUUUGUAUCCAGUACUGAGGGAGUGGAUUGUAUGGUAGUUCUAUUUUUAAAUUU
ensembl:miRNA